rnacentral:rRNA from 1 species
AACGAACGCUGGCGGCAUGCCUAACACAUGCAAGUCGAACGAGACCUUCGGGUCUAGUGGCGCACGGGUGCGUAACGCGUGGGAACCUGCCCUUAGGUUCGGAAUAACUCCCCGAAAGGGGUGCUAAUACCGGAUAAUGUCUUCGGACCAAAGAUUUAUCGCCUUUGGAUGGGCCCGCGUUGGAUUAGCUAGUUGGUAGGGUAAAAGCCUACCAAGGCGACGAUCCAUAGCUGGUCUGAGAGUAUGAUCAGCCACACUGGGACUGAGACACGGCCCAGACUCCUACGGGAGGCAGCAGUGGGGAAUAUUGGACAAUGGGCGAAAGCCUGAUCCAGCAAUGCCGCGUGAGUGAUGAAGGCCUUAGGGUUGUAAAGCUCUUUUACCCGGGAUGAUAAUGACAGUACCGGGAGAAUAAGCUCCGGCUAACUCCGUG